GACGUAGGGCGCGAGCGUGUCCGGAUUUAUUGGGCGUAAAGAGCUCGUAGGCGGUUUGUUGCGUCGGCUGUGAAAUCCCGAGGCUCAACCUCGGGUCUGCAGUCGAUACGAGCAAACUAGAGUGUUGCAGGGGAGACUGGAAUUCCUGGUGUAGCGGUGAAAUGCGCAGAUAUCAGGAGGAACACCGGUGGCGAAGGCGGGUCUCUGGGCAACAACUGACGCUGGAGGAGCGAAAGCGUGGGGAGCGAACAGGA
rnacentral:rRNA from 1 species